rnacentral:sRNA from 1 species
UGAUUAGUGGUAUGAAUCCGGAAUAUUC